GACGAACGCUGGCGGCGUGGAUUAGGCAUGCAAGUCGAACGGUAUCAUCCUUUCGGGGGUGAGAGAGUGGCGAACUGGUGAGUAACACGUAGGUUAUCUACCCUCAAGACGGGGACAACCCAGGGAAACUUGGGCUAAUACCGGAUGUGAGCAACUUUUAGUUGUUUGAAAGGUGGCGUAAGCUGUCGCUUGGGGAUGAGCCUGCGUCCUAUUAGUUAGUUGGUGAGGUAACGGCUCACCUAGGCAAUGAUAGGUAGGCGGCCUUAACGGGUGGUCGCCCACACUGGGAUUGAGAUACGGCCCAGACUCCUACGGGAGGCAGCAGUCGAGAAUAGUCUACAAUGGUCGGAAGACUGAUAGUGCGACGCCGCGUGAACGAUGAAUCCCUUCGGGGUGUAAAGUUCUUUUAUAUGUGAGCAGUGCUUCUUAUAUUAACAGUAUGGGGAAGAGAUAUUACAUAUGAAUAACAAACGGCUAACUCCGUGCCCAGCAGCCGCGGUAAUCUCCG
rnacentral:rRNA from 1 species